rnacentral:rRNA from 1 species
AUACGGAGGAUGCGAGCGUUAUCCGGAUUUAUUGGGUUUAAAGGGUGCGUAGGCUGUGCGUUAAGUCAGGGGUGAAAUGCCGUCGCUCAACGACGGAGCUGCCCUUGAUACUGGCGUGCUGGAGUACGGAUGCCGUUGGAGGAAUGAGUGGUGUAGCGGUGAAAUGCUUAGAUAUCACUCAGAACACCGAUUGCGAAGGCAUCUGGCGAAUCCGUCACUGACGCUGAGGCACGAAAGCGUGGGGAUAGAACAGGAUUAGAUACCCUGGUAUUCCACGCCGGAAACGAUGAUGACUAACCGUCGGCGAUAGACAGCCGGUGGCCAAGCGAAAGCGAUAAGUCGUCCACCUGGGGAGUACGUCGGCAACGAUGAAACUCAAAUGAAUUGACGGGG